GGGGGUGAAGGGCUUCGACCCAUAUAAGCAAGGCAAAGGUUGCAUGUAGAGGUUGCUAGGAGGCCUCUUAAAACACCUGGCAAAUCAACAAAUGCUGACAACUUCAAUGUGCCAGCAACGGUUGACCAGCUUCUGGCUACCAUGCAAGUGGUACCGGGGCCGGUUCUACCGGUAGCGUUAGCCCUAUAAGCUAACCCGUCAACCGGCAUGUGCCUGUGAGGCCGGAUUGGCGACGAUAACAGGAUAGUCCUUGCCGUUUAGCCUUUAGCGGCUCGGAUGAAGCUUCUAAAGGAUACUCUGCCGCAAUUCCGCCCGUUGAAGCGCGGACAGGGGAAAUCAAAGAUCGGGACAAACAUGUAGGAGCUUUUGUUUUGAUAUUUGGGGACGCGGGUUCGACUCCCGCCACCUCCACCA
rnacentral:tmRNA from 1 species